AUGUGCUCACCGUGUCACUUUUAUAUCUCCACCUGUGCACCCCUUGUAGACCUGGACGAUAACUUUCAGAGGCAACUCUGUCGGGAGGACUGCUGAGGCAACUUGGCUUUCCUUGCAUUAUCCAGGCCUAUGUUAUUCACAUACCCCAAAGAAUGUAACAGAAUGUAUCUUUAUGGCCUUGUGCCUAUAAACUAUAUACAACUUUCAGCAACGGAUCUCUUGGCUCUCGCAUCGAUGAAGAACGCAGCGAAAUGCGAUAAGUAAUGUGAAUUGCAGAAUUCAGUGAAUCAUCGAAUCUUUGAACGCACCUUGCGCUCCUUGGUAUUCCGAGGAGCAUGCCUGUUUGAGUGUCAUUAAAUUCUCAACCUUAUUAGCUUUUGUUGAUAAUGGCUUGGACUUGGGGGUCUUUUGCUGGCCUUUAACGGUCAGCUCCCCUUAAAUGUAUUAGCUGGUUCCCCGCAUGGACCUGUCUAUUGGUGUGAUAAUUAUCUACGCCGUGGAUGGUCUGCUUUUAAAAGGGUUGAGCUGCUUCUAACCGUCUGUUAACUCGGACAGCACAAAUGACAAUUUGACCUCAAAUCAGGUAGGACUACCCGCUGAACUUAAGCAUAUCAAUAAGCGGAGGAAAAGAAACUAACAAGGAUUCCCCUAGU
rnacentral:rRNA from 1 species